UGCGUAAUAUUGGCUCUCAUUAAAUCAGAUUAUUAAUUAUAAUUUUAAAUUAUAAUUCGCGAAGUUAGAGUCAGUGAGUCCGCCGAUUGCUACUUAAACGCGCGCGUAGUUAGUCUUGUAUUUUUUCUUAUUCAAUAUUCGUUUUCGGUAUUAGAGUCAGUGCUGAAGAGGAUAAGGCGAUCCAGGAGAUCAAGAUUAUCUUCUACAAUCUCCACUUCCCCUAAUCCUCUGAGAAUCUUAUAGCUUCAAAAGCUAAAAAUAAAUUUUUCACGGCGUCUACUUCCACCAUGGGAUUCUCAAUGGUAUCUAAUUGAUGAGAGAGUCUUCACGACAACUUUCCCCGCUCCAGUGCAGCAUCGAUGAUAACGUCCUUCACAUCUAUCGCGUGAGUCGCAUGCAUUUAUGUUCCUCCGGUCACUCAAUCAUGUCGUAGGAUGAAAGGUCCGAAUCGGCACGGGUGAUUGGUUGUAUACGUAGAAUUUUUUAUGAGCAUAGUGACCGCGGGUAUUUUUUAUACCCGUGAAUA